UAGAGAAUCAUCCCUACGUAACGCAGACUCUGCCUCUAGGGAUAUCCUAACGAAGCGAAGGAACUCAACUGGUAUGAGCGACCUGGAGCUUACUGAAGUCGGCAUACAGAAUUUUGCUCUUUCAGGUUAGUUAUUUAAUCAGUUAUAUGAUGUGUAUUUGCUGCCAUGGUAUAGGUCAGUUGCAAGUUGUUAAUUAUUUCACCAGUUUUAUGCUUCAAUCUUAAAGUGGUAGUUGUAGAUUUGUAUAUAUUUUGGAAUAGUGUAUUCUGCUUUGCAGGUACAUAAUUCUCACUUGAUUUAGUAAGUGAAAAAUCUUAUUCUGCUGAGAUGAUAUGAAUAUAACUAUACGGAUGUGGUUUCCCUCGAGUAAUGUACACCAUGGAAUGCUUGAUUUUGGUCUUCAUCUACCUUCUCUUAUAAUUUUAUGCAAACCUCAUUUAUGAUUAGCUUAUCUAGGAACCUCAGUGAAGUUAAAGUAUUAUAGCUAAAAGUGAAUUUUAAAAAUAUAUACGUUAGCAGAUGGAAGCCAGCUACCUUCAUUAAAUACUACUGUUGUGUGUACCUUUUGGCUGCACUUUACACUAAAAAGAGUACGAUUGUGAUAAGUACAUGCUAUUUGAGUAAUUGAUGCGCACUUUUCGACAUAAUGUAGUGUUGCUUCAUUGUUGUCGAUGUUUCCGUUAUGUAAUGUGUGUAACAAAAACUUAGAAUACUAUAGUUACCAAAGUCAAUGGAUAAUGUCCUGUAUUUUCUGUUGCAGUCUGUGGCUAAGCUACUGUCACUCUAUUUAUUUUUUAUAAUCAAAUUUGAAAUCAUACUAUAUAUAAUCAUGUCCUCAUGUUUUAUGUACAAAGAUAACAUAAUUUAUUUAUAUAUACCAUUCAGAGAAUAUGAGAUUAACAAAAUGAGACUCUGUAAAUACAUUUCCUCAAUAGCUAUGUGUAAUGGCUAUAAUUGCAAAGGAACAGAUGUAUGAUUCUGUAGAGUCUCAUAUUAGUGGUUGUCAUUUGCAUUUCUUCAACCGAGCACCUAUAAAUAUAAUAACCCAUCAAUAGUAUAUGCACCUCAAAUUGAGCUCCACUAAGAUGGGAAGCCAGUAGUUCUGUCAAGUCCAUUUGAUAAGAUAAAUUAUCCAUUAAGCAGUGCAAGGUUUAGGUCAUUAAUCUUAAUAAAGCUAAUAAAUAGACUAAGGAAUGAAUUUCGAGUCCAUCAUCCGUUUUAUCUAUAAUUUUAUAAGAAGGCUAUAAGGCAGGUACCUUUGUAUCUUGGAGCCAGCUGUUAGAUUAAGGCACCAAGGUUAAAAAAUCAGAUUGAUUUAGGUAGACAUUUAUAGUUUUAUGAAGUUGCUUAUGUUUUUUAAUUUUAUAUAUAAUAACAUCCCUAUAUGUAUCCUGGGAAAAAACUGCCAAGGUGUGCAGUAGUACAUGAAGUACAUCUGCCAAGGUGUGCAGUAGUAUAUGAAGUACAUCAAAUCCCAAGAUUCACAUUCAGUGUAUUAGAGUUCACUAGACUGUCUGUAUUCAUCUUAUUGAGAGUUCUAUCGUGUAAAAUUUAGCAAGAUUAGAUUAUUAUGCUCUUUUAAAAAAAUUCUAUUGCAUUUUGGCAUUUAAAGGAUCAUAGUCAGAAAUCCAUAAAAUGAAUUAAAAGAUGCUGUACCUUUUGGUUAAUAUUUGGUUUAAGUUUAAGACAUUUUGAUACACAAAAACAUGUUUCCAUUGACUAAUAAUAAUAAUGCAUGAUGCACCUCUCUACAACUCUUUGUCCUUUGUUGCUUAUAAAUAUUCAGCAUUUAUGAUCACUUAUGUGCAAGUAUUUGGAGUCCAUCUUUACAUACCCAGUUUGGAAGAUAAAUAAGUAUAUAACAGGGUUCAAGUACUCUGUUAGUGGCCUUCUCAAGACUUCAGGAUUUACAUUAAUAGAGCUAAUAACUAAUCUAACAUGUAACGGUUCAAAUAUUAUAUGUCAAUCAUAUAAGCUUUCUACUAGAAGGGCAGUACAGGGAAGUUUUGAAGCUAUCAGUAUCUUUAAAAUGUGUACAGAAUAACACAUGGCAAAACAUAGGAAAGGGGAAGAUCGACAUUACAAGAUGAUGCAUAAUAGUGGAUUUUAGUUCCUGUAGCCCGAGCGCAGAUAGUACAAAACAGUAUGGUUAAGUGUCUAAUUAACCCAUAUAAGUUGAAAACCUUAUUCCACUAUAGUUAUGCCGUUUCUGUAUAUUUUUGGUAUAAGUUUUUGAGAGUUUGAAACUAUGUGGCAAUGCAGCGUGCUACCAAUAGUAUAUCAGGUUCAUUUACAAAUAGCAUUUGUCUAAUUAACCCAUAUAAGUUGAAAACCUUAUUCCACUAUAGGUAUGUUGCUUCUGUAAAUUUUUGGUAUAAAUUUUUGAUAGUUGGGAACUAUGUGGCAGUGCAGCGUGCUUCCAAUAGUAUGUCAGGUUCAUUUAAUAAUAGCAUGUGUAAUCAGAUGGUAUAAGCAGAAAUAAUUGCUUCUGUCACAAUUCCAGGAAAGAACAUUCAUGAUAUAUGAUUUGUGCUUCUGAAUUAUUAAUUAUGUGAUUCAGCUGCAUUUUCCUCUCUUUUUUGCUUAUUAAUAUGAAAUCUCUGUGAAUCUUAUGCAUAAUCAUCUCUGAUCUUGGUGUUUAAUAUAGAAUUGUAUUUCAUCUAUUCACAAUGUAUAGAGUAUAGACUGCAUGCUGUUAUUGUCCAGAUGACAUUCUAAUUCAUGUGGCUAGCCAUGAAUUUAUUUCCCCUCUCUAAUGUGGAUUUCUUGCAGAAAUUGAGAGGUAAACAGAUAUUUUUAAUAUUGUUUUUUUCUAAAAAUUGUGACUGCUACAAUAAAUAGCAUCCACUAUGAUUUAGACAUCAUUAAUAUUAAAAACAAAUUAAUAUCGUGUCAUUAUAUUAUUGAAGUAUAUUAAUGUCAAUAUUUUUAAAUAUAUGAUUUUAAUUUGUUUGAAAUAUAUAUUAAUAUUUAGGUUUAAUUAGUGUAUAAUGAUUUAGCCCUUCUGGGCUCAAAUCUUUUGGGUUUGUUAAACAGUACAUGUCAUUGUGUGACUACUGCUUAUCAUACAUUUGAUAUAAGUAUCUGCAAAUAGAGAACAGACUAAUGUAAGAAGUCGAUGCAGUGAUGCAACAAUGAACAAAUGACAAGCAUGCAAACGUGCACAAUUUGAUGGCUUAUCUAUUAUAUUGCGCAGACUGACUCCCACCGGCAGACUUCAUAAAGAAAAAGUUCGCAUUCAAGACCUAUUUUGACAUGCGGAUAUUCCACAAGAGAACUGCUACCUCAGAAGUUAUAGUGUCACUCAUUGCAUUAUCACACUAUGUGAAAACUAAAACUUAAAACACGCCAUUGUCAUGGUGAAUGGUAAAUAAAGGCAUGGAAAUUACUAUAAACAUUUGUCAUUGCAGAUGCUGCGGUGCUCCUUUUGGAGAGCUGCAAAUAUUGGAAAGCAUCUCAAAUCCAUCAGGUUCAAUGCAUGACGAUAAAGAAAACAAUCCAUCUGGCCAAGGCUUCCAAGAAGGAGAUGAAACAACAGAUUAUGGUUGGAAGGGUUACCUGUAAGUUGGUUCGCCAAAGUGUAGAUCUAAUAAGUACUAUUUGAAGUAUUAAUUGAAGAGCAUAUCUGGGAUUUGUUUCUGAUGCAUGGAUAAAUUAAAAAAAAAAUGCAUUCAGUGAAUGAAAAUUAUGUUUGCAUAAACUCAAGUAAAAAACAUGCAAUCUCUAAAACAAAAAUCUCAAGAUAAAAGAAGACUGGUGGAAAGCCUGAAUCUCCCUCAAAAGCAGAUCCUAACACGAAGUAUGCAGUAGAUCCUAUGAAGUCUCAAGAUGUAAGUUUUCUUCCCUCUCCCCUUAACCUGGCUCACAUACCACACUCACAGUGAUGUUUAACUAAUCCUUUUUCUAUGGUGGAUGAAUAUAAAAGGAAUUUUAAUAGUAAGUACUUUUAUUAUAUAUUUGUGUCGAGAAACUAAUGUCUAUAUAUACUAUAUACACUUGGUUAAACAAAAGUCGCAGUGUUGCAUAAUGAAUCCUAUUUUUUUAAUCAUUAAGUAUAGGAUUCAUGCGUAUCCCUCUCUUUCCAUGCUUUGAUGUGUCAGCUUUUUGACAUCAUAAAUCUUGGCAGUUACGAAAUGGUUAGAAAAUGGCUUCAAACCCUCUGUCUCUUUCAUUCAAUCAUCACACCCUCCUCUCUUUCUCUAUAAAUUCAUCUUCUAAGUCUUCUAACAUGUUAUUCACACACAGGAGUUUGUCUCGCAUAUGAUACUCACACGGUUUUACUCAAUUUUACUGCGUACACAUGGAUGGCGUUUGGAUUGAUUCUCAAAUAUAAUUACUAAAAAACAACAACGCCAGAGAGAGGGGGGAAGAGAGGGAGAGGGAGAGAAAGAGAGAGAACAAGGAGGGAGAGAGAGGGGGAGAGAGAGAGAGAGAGAGAGAGGGAGAGAGGGAGGGAGGGAGGGAUUCCGGUGGUAAUGGAAAGUCUCAUCAGCGGCAUUGCAUCAGGAGUUGGUUCAGUUAUUUCAAAAAUAUUUGGGUCUCCCCUUGAUUUCCUUUCAGAAAAUUUUGCAGAUACCCCUUACUGAUCAAACAUUUAUGCUACAAAAUAUUUGCUUCCUUCUUUAUCUAAACUAUAUUGUAUUAAUUUGUACGGACGCAAAGUUAUGUACAUCAUUGAUUGGGCGUUCUGAUGAAAAAGAUAGUUUAUGUAUCAUUUAGACGCUUUGUAAAAUUUCAUGUUCAUGGUUUGUGGUUCGGCUCAGUAUUUGCCCCCAACAUGUGAUUUCAUUUGUUAUGUCGAAAAUUUCUGCAUUUCCCAGUAAUUAAUAACUAAUUAUUAGGAAGUAAUUGAAGUAAUAAUCUUAGGAAAACUAUUGACAAGGAUUAAAGGCACUAUGCAUGUUCAACUGAAAUGGUAGCAAGAACAGCAUGUAUAUAAUCAAAUACUAUGUCUUCGCCUCGCUCUUACAGAAGAAAGAGAUAAACCAGAACAUGAAACAUAAAAGAGCUGAAUAUAGUGGACAUUGGCGCUCAUUUGUAUAAUCAGAAAACAAAUAUGAAAAUUAAAUUUGUAUUAAAGUUUUAAAAUAUGCAUGUCCUACUCAAUUAUGAUGAUAUUUUUCAGCAUAAUUUCAAUUUUUUGUGAUUUAACUUUUCUGUAAUGAUCAUAUUAAUUUCUAAUUACUCUUUAUUAUUUGGAAUAUGUUCGAUUCUCCCAUAUUACUACUCUGUGCCCCAAUUCAUUCCUUACGGUAUGUUUCUCUCUUGGUUGAACUAACAAUCAUUGUAAAAGCAAUUCAAUUCUAGAUUUUGUAUUUUCUUAUCAUUUAUGUCGAGAUUCUAGAUUUUAAUCUCUGGUUUGUCAAAAUGAUUUUACAGGUCAUGGAAUGGAUAUAAUCUCAAUUCUUGGCUUAAACAACUAAGGUAGAAAAGGAUAUGGAGGUCAAACCAACAGUUGUCGUUAGGUCUUAUACUGGAAGUAGGCAAUACUGCAUUUGAAAAGAUUGGUGUGAUGAAAGAUGCAGGUGUUAUGAUCAACUGUGGUAUGGUCAGUUUAACUAGGUUGCCUGAAGUAAUUUGUCAUGUAUGGCACUGAUUUAAUGUUUAUGUUCUUGCUUGGGCGAUAUCUGCAAAUAGUCAAGUGACAUUGUGCAUUGAAUGAUUGAAGUCCGCCUGCUAAUAAUUUUUUUAUUAGUGCAGUGUUUGAGAGAGAAGUAUGUGUACAUUAUUGGAGAAUGCAGUAUUCAUGCCAGUAAGCAGUUCACAUUUUAUCUAAUAUUUUUCAAUAUAAGGCUAAUUUGAGGAUCACAAGCUGAUUAAAUCCAGAGACCUUACUCCAUCACGAAAAGUGAGGCAAAUAACAUGGCCAGGAAUGGAAUGAACCCAGAGCACUUUAUGCAUCAGAGAUUAAAUAUGUUGUCGGGAAAAAUUCACACUCUAGCAUAUAGCAGGAUCAAGAUUAUUAAGUAUUAAUGAUGUUGAGGGAUUAAUCAAGCUAAUUACUGAGGAUGAGAGACAAAUAAGGUAUUUGACAGCAAGAGAGGAUAUUGCAUUCACAUGCCAUGCACAUAUUAACAAAGGAUGAGUCCUUGAGAUUUAAGGAUCAA